GAUGAACGCUAGCUACAGGCUUAACACAUGCAAGUCGAGGGGCAGCAUGAUUGAAGCUUGCUUCAAUCGAUGGCGACCGGCGCACGGGUGAGUAACACGUAUCCAACCUGCCGAUAACUCGGGGAUAGCCUUUCGAAAGAAAGAUUAAUACCCGAUAGUAUAGUAUUUCCGCAUGGUUUCACUAUUAAGAACUUCGGUUAUCGAUGGGGAUGCGUUCCAUUAGAUAGUUGGCGGGGUAACGGCCCACCAAGUCAACGAUGGAUAGGGGUUCUGAGAGGAAGGCCCCCCCCAUUGGAACUGAGACACGGCCAAAACCCGUACGGGAGGCGGCAGGGGGGAAUAUUGGUCAAGGAACGGGAGUCUGAACCAGCCAAGUAGGGAGAAGGAUGCCUGCCCUAUGGGUUGUAAACUUUUUUUAAAGGGGAAAAAAGGGGAGUAUGCAUACUCUUUUGUUUGUACCGAAUAAAAAAGGAUCGGCUAACUCCGU
rnacentral:rRNA from 1 species